ACCUGCUCCGAGCUCGAUUUCCCUUUCAAGCUGUGUGUUCUGCGGGGGCAGGGAGAGCUGCAAUGGCUCAUCUUUCAGGACAUGCUGCAAAGGGCCUUUGAAGUCAUCCGCCCUGCUCUUGGCACCUUGCGCCUGGAGCUGAGCUCUUCCAAAAAUGACCCCUGCGCAUUCCGUGGUGCGGCCGCCCAGCCCAGGCAGUCGCGGUCCAGAGCAGGGGAAGCAGCAGCGCGGCCGGCAGCUGGGAGAGCCGAGGCCCCGAGGGAGGACCCUGCCUCAAGCCAAGCAACCAGGCCCUGCGGCCCUCUCCCCACCGCCGUGCGGCCCUGGCGCAGGGAACCGGGACGGGGCUUUCCGGCCUUGAAGGGCACACUUACUCCACCAAACAUUCCCAUCGUCGGCUGAUGGAGGGCCUCGAGCUGGGCGCUGUGGGUACGUUAUCCUAUUUACUUCUCUCGGUAGCCCUGCACCAUCGCCUCUGGUUCCCAGUAUAUGCCCUUCUAGAGAGACCUGCCAGACUGAGCUGCUUCCAUCAGCCAGACAUGAGGAUAAGAGCAUUUAGGCUCCAGGCUUAUCUGACUGGUCAGAGGAAUGGAUCAGUGGCCCCCAUUCAUUCUCCUGUCUCUUUCUGGAGUCACAACUUAGCACUGGAAAUACAUCAUGGGACCAGGCCCCUCGUGAAGCUUGCAUUCUGGAAAUUAAGAGCCUCCGUCUCUCUGGUCUCUUGUUUCUUAAAGUGUGGACUCUAGACCAGCAUCGUCAGCAUCCUCUGGGAGCUGGUUGGGAGUGCAGCAUCUUAGCCUCAAGCCCCACU
rnacentral:lncRNA from 1 species